GGAGCAUUAUGGCGCAACGCGCAAAAUAGUUACAGACGCAUAUACAAGUCGUAUUAAUCGCGGCUUAUCCACCCUGAAAGAUGUUAUUAAGCGGUAAUUUUGGAACGGAUUGAGUCGCGAACGCUUGAAAGCCAUGAAAGCCUUGAAUGCCUUGUAUGCUAAGUAUGCCAAUGUCUUAGUUGAAAAACGUUCACUUGUUGAAAAAAGCAAAAUCUGAAAUCUGAAACCAAACUGCAUAUACUCUAUGCAAUCUAUUGAACAACACUACUACCGUGAGACUAAAGAACAUAUCUAUAAUGGAUGCAAACUGCUUGGGAAGAAAGACGACAUGUUGGAUUCACUUGAUGGCAAGGAACGUAGCUAAGAUAACAGUACGAAUGGUAUUAAUUUCACGAUCAGAAAGGCGGCCCAAGCUCACGUCUCGAGAAAAAGCCAACGAUUAAUUCAUGAACGCGUCACGCGUUGUGUGACUCGGUCUUAAGUUACGAGAGGAACUGUUGGAAAUUUGAACACGUCAUAAGGAAUAGUAUAGGGAACGAAGUAUGGUCGAUUUAAAACGAUAAAUAUUUCGAAAUAUGAACAUUUUUCUCGUAAAAUCAAUAAAACUUACUCAUACCCUGUG